GGCGGAGUGGAGCAGCCCGGUAGCUCGUCGGCCUCAUAAGCCGAAGGUCGUUGGUUCAAAUCCAACCUCUCGCA
rnacentral:tRNA from 1 species